UUGAAGAGUUUGAUCAUGGCUCAGAUUGAACGCUGGCGGCAGGCCUAACACAUGCAAGUCGAACGGUAACAGGAAGCAGCUUGCUGCUUUGCUGACGAGUGGCGGACGGGUGAGUAAUGUCUGGGAAACUGCCUGAUGGAGGGGGAUAACUACUGGAAACGGUAGCUAAUACCGCAUAACGUCGCAAGACCAAAGAGGGGGACCUUCGGGCCUCUUGCCAUCGGAUGUGCCCAGAUGGGAUUAGCUAGUAGGUGGGGUAACGGCUCACCUAGGCGACGAUCCCUAGCUGGUCUGAGAGGAUGACCAGCCACACUGGAACUGAGACACGGUCCAGACUCCUACGGGAGGCAGCAGUGGGGAAUAUUGCACAAUGGGCGCAAGCCUGAUGCAGCCAUGCCGCGUGUAUGAAGAAGGCCUUCGGGUUGUAAAGUACUUUCAGCGGGGAGGAAGGGAGUAAAGUUAAUACCUUUGCUCAUUGACGUUACCCGCAGAAGAAGCACCGGCUAACUCCGUGCCAGCAGCCGCGGUAAUACGGAGGGUGCAAGCGUUAAUCGGAAUUACUGGGCGUAAAGCGCACGCAGGCGGUUUGUUAAGUCAGAUGUGAAAUCCCCGGGCUCAACCCGGGAACUGCAUCUGAUACUGGCAAGCUUGAGUCUCGUAGAGGGGGGGUAGAAUUCCGGGUGUAGCGGUGAAAUGCGUAGAGAUCUGGAGGAAUACCGGUGGCGAAGGCGGCCCCCUCGGACGAAGACUGACGCUCAGGUGCGAAAGCGUGGGGAGCAAACAGGAUUAGAUACCCUCGGUAGUCCACGCCGUAAACGAUGUCGACUUGGAGGUUGUGCCCUUGAGGCGUGGCUUCCGGAGCUAACGCGUUAAGUCGACCGCACCGGGGAGUACGGCCGCAAGGUUAAAACUCAAAUGAAUUGACGGGGGGCCCGCACAAGCGGUGGAGCAUGUGGUUUAAUUCGAUGCAACGCGAAGAACCUUACCUGGUCUUGACAUCCACGGAAGUUUUCAGAGAUGAGAAUGUGCCUUCGGGAGCCGUGAGACAGGUGCUGCAUGGCUGUCGUCAGCUCGUGUUGUGAAAUGUUGGGUUAAGUCCCGCAACGAGCGCAACCCUUAUCCUUUGUUGCCAGCGGUCCGGCCGGGAACUCAAAGGAGACUGCCAGUGAUAAACUGGAGGAAGGUGGGGAUGACGUCAAGUCAUCAUGGCCCUUACGACCAGGGCUACACACGUGCUACAAUGGCGCAUACAAAGAGAAGCGACCUCGCGAGAGCAAGCGGACCUCAUAAAGUGCGUCGUAGUCCGGAUUGGAGUCUGCAACUCGACUCCAUGAAGUCGGAAUCGCUAGUAAUCGUGGAUCAGAAUGCCACGGUGAAUACGUUCCCGGGCCUUGUACACACCGCCCGUCACACCAUGGGAGUGGGUUGCAAAAGAAGUAGGUAGCUUAACCUUCGGGAGGGCGCUUACCACUUUGUGAUUCAUGACUGGGGUGAAGUCGUAACAAGGUAACCGUAGGGGAACCUGCGGUUGGAUCACCUCCUU
rnacentral:rRNA from 1 species